rnacentral:rRNA from 1 species
UACGUAGGGUGCAAGCGUUGUCCGGAAUUAUUGGGCGUAAAGAGCUCGUAGGCGGCUUGUCGCGUCGGCUGUGAAAACCUGGGGCUCAACCCCGGGCCUGCAGUCGAUACGGGCUGGCUUGAGUGCGGUAGGGGAGACUGGAAUUCCUGGUGUAGCGGUGAAAUGCGCAGAUAUCAGGAGGAACACCGGUGGCGAAGGCGGGUCUCUGGGCCGUAACUGACGCUGAGGAGCGAAAGCGUGGGGAGCGAACAGG